GAUGAACGCUAGCUACAGGCUUAACACAUGCAAGUCGAGGGGCAGCACGGAGAUAGCUUGCUAUCUUGGGUGGCGACCGGCGCACGGGUGAGUAACGCGUAUCCAACCUGCCCAUUACUCUGGGAUAGCCUUGCGAAAGUAAGAUUAAUACCGGAUGUUGUUAAAAACCCGCAUGAGUUUUUAACCAAAGAUUUAUUGGUAAUGGAUGGGGAUGCGUGACAUUAGGUAGUUGGUGAGGUAACGGCUCACCAAGCCUACGAUGUCUAGGGGUCCUGAGAGGAAGGUCCCCCACACUGGAACUGAGACACGGUCCAG
rnacentral:rRNA from 1 species